rfam:Callithrix jacchus chromosome 12, whole genome shotgun sequence
GCUGGGCACGGUGGCGCGUGCCUGUAAUCCCAGCUACUCCGGAGGCUGAGGCAGGAGAAUUGCCUGAACCCAGGAGGCGGAGGUUGCGGUGAGCCGAGAUCGCGCCAUUGCACUCCAGCCUGGGUAACAAGAGCGAAACUCCGUCUCAAAGAAAAAAAAAAAGGAGAGAAUCAGCCCCAAGCAGCAUAAUCACUCCAUGUUUUUUUUUUGAGACAGGGUCUCACUGUCGCCCAGGCUGGAGUGCAGUAGGUGUGACCUCGGCUCACCGCAGCCUCCACCUCCUGGGUUCAAGCGAUUCUC